CCUGGCCAAUGGGGGGAAGCCUGAUGCAGCGACGCCGCGUGAGGGAUGACGGCCUUCGGGUUGUAAACCUCUUUCAGCAGGGAAGAAGGCCUUCGGGUGGACGGUACCUGCAAAAGAAGCGCCGGCUAACUAAAUGCCAGCAUCCGCGGUAAUACGUAGGGCGCAAGCGUUGUCCGGAAUUAUUGGGCGUAAAGAGUUCUGAGGCGGAUUGUCGCGUCUGGUGUGAAAACCUCAAGAUCAACCUGGGGCGGGCUUCACCCGCGGACAGACUAGAGUGCUGUAGGGGAGACUGGAAUUCCUGGUGUAGCGGUGGAAUGCGCAGAUAUCAAGAGGAACACCGAUGGCGAAGGCAGGUCUCUGGGCCGCAACUGACGCUGAGGAGCGAAAGCAUGGGGAGCGAACAGGAUUAGAUACCCUGGUAGUCCAUGCCGUAAACGUUGGGCACUAGGUGUGGGACUCAUUCCACGAGUUCCGUGCCGCAGCUAACGCAUUACGUGCCCCGCCUGGGGAGUACCGCCGCGAGGCUAAAACUCAAAGGAAUUGACGGGGAU
rnacentral:rRNA from 1 species